rnacentral:misc_RNA from 1 species
GAUGAAGAACGCAGUGAAAUGCGAUAAGUAGUGUGAAUUGCAGAAUUCAGUGAAUCAUCGAAUCUUUGAACGCACAUUGCGCCCUUUGGUAUUCCAAAGGGCAUGCCUGUUCGAGCGUCAUUUGUACCCUCAAGCUUUGCUUGGUGUUGGGCGUCUUGUCUCUAGCUUUGCUGGAGACUCGCCUUAAAGUAAUUGGCAGCCGGCCUACUGGUUUCGGAGCGCAGCACAAGUCGCACUCUCUAUCAGCAAAGGUCUAGCAUCCAUUAAGCCUUUUUUUCAACUUUUGACCUCGGAUCAGGUAGGGAUACCCGCUGAACUUAAGCAUAUCAAUAAGCGGAGAA